rnacentral:rRNA from 1 species
ACGAACGCUGGCGGCGUGCUUAACACAUGCAAGUCGAACGGAAAGGCCCUGCUUGCAGGGUACUCGAGUGGCGAACGGGUGAGUAACACGUGGGUGAUCUGCCCUGCACUUCGGGAUAAGCCUGGGAAACUGGGUCUAAUACCGGAUAGGAGCCAUUUUUAGUGUGAUGGUUGGAAAGUUUUUUCGGUGUAGGAUGAGCUCGCGGCCUAUCAGCUUGUUGGUGGGGUAAUGGCCUACCAAGGCGGCGACGGGUAGCCGGCCUGAGAGGGUGGACGGCCACAUUGGGACUGAGAUACGGCCCAGACUCCUACGGGAGGCAGCAGUGGGGAAUAUUGCACAAUGGGCGCAAGCCUGAUGCAGCGACGCCGCGGGGGGGAGGACGGCCUUCGGGUUGUAAACGCCUUUCGCUAGGGACGAAGCUUUUUGUGACGGUACCUAGAGAAGAAGCACCGGCUAACUACGUG